GUGGUCUGGGGUCCAGCUCCUGGCUUGCAACCUUGCUUGCAGUUUUGUACCAGACAGCUUCACCCGGACCUAAAUUGAACCACCAGUUGCGUCCUUCCAAAGGAUUACUGGGCAGUUACAGGUGUGAGCAUUUUACAGUAGGUUACGCUCAUGUAUAGUACUGCAAACAAUC